CGUCCUCUGUAGGAAAACAUGACAAGAGCUUGGGAGGGACAAAUUGAGUCAGGACUGAUAACUCGCAUAUCAAUGGAGUGGUAAAUCCAUUCCAGAUUCUUGCUAGCUUAAAAUGAGCUCUCCAAGGUGCUGAGUUUAUUGGAGAGAGCCUUUAAGCCUGAAUUAAAACCUGGAAUGAAUUUCCUGUCCCACCUGCAUGAGAACCACUAGUUGCCACUGUGCGGAUCAUAUGUAGCUUUCCCUUCUUAAAAUGACUCAGAUUUUAUGUCUUCGUCAAACUUUCUUAAAUUUGUAUCUAGCCUCUCCACAAGCCAAUAUAGCCUGCAACAGUGUUCCUCAAACUCUGCUCCUCCAGGUGUUUUGAACUUCAGCUCCCAGAAAUCCCAACAUUGCAACAAGGAACAAACUACUUUUAAAAGGGAGAAAGUCAUGCUUCUUAAAAUGGAAGAGAAAAGCCCUCACUACAGGAGAGGGGUGGAUGGGAAGAUGGCUUUUUCUGAUAUGCUUUUUUGAAUUAUUUUCACUCCAUCUAAGUAAACAUCAUAGAAUUGUGUUUUGAAGCAGCCCCUAAGAACAUGAAAAUGGCUACUUACCAGCAGGCACUGGGAUGAAAUGAUGCUUGCUUUUCAUGCAACAGCAAGUAAUCACUGAGGCAAGAACGGCCAGAAGGAGAGCCCCACCAACACAUCCUGCCAGAAUGUACAGGAACAAUGGGUUCUGCAGUAGAUCCUCUGGGCGAAACAAAGAACCUAUUUAAAAGAAAGGAGGAGGAGGAGGAAGAGGAUUGUUGAGAACAAAAAGAGGAAAAAUAUUGUGAAAUAUCGAAUCCUAAAAAUCAAGCUUCAUCUCCUCUAGGAAAAGAAACUAACUGUGGUGCCACAUAGGCGUCUUGGGGCAAUUCAAAAUGGACUGACUGAACAUUUGAAUGAAAACAUCAUAGUGAGUACAAAAAGGAAAACUACUUUGCGCAUGCCACAUUACCUGACAAUACUACAUUGAUUUCUAGUUCUUGGAUAUAAUCCAAACUAUUCUUUUUUCAAAAUUCGAAUCAAUAAUAACUGGUAGAUUGCGGAACCAGGAAUUAAUUGGGUACUGUUUUUUUUAAAAAAAUGAAAAAGCUAAAGAAGACCUGAUGUUAAGAGUGUCAGACAAACAUCAGACAAAUUAAUAAGAAGCACAAAUAACAAUAGAAAGAAGAGAAAGAAUGAGGAACCUUGUUUUCAUUGUCAACCUGCUGGUCUGCUUCAGUUAAUAGUCUUGUAGAUGCAGCCAAUAAAAAGUCAUUAUUAUCCAGUCACUAA